GACGGAAGGUGCAAGCGUUGCUCGGAAUCACUGGGCGUAAAGGGUGCGUAGGCGGCUUGGUGGGUCUGGUGUGAAAGCCCCGGGCUCAGCCCGGGAAGGGCACUAGAAACUGCCGAGCUGGAGUGCCGGAGGGGAGAGUGGAAUUCCGGGUGUAGCGGUGGAAUGCGUAGAGAUCAGGAAGAACACCGGUGGCGAAGGCGCUCUGCUAGGCCGCAACUGACACUGAGGGACGAAAGCUAGGGGAGCGAAUGGG
rnacentral:rRNA from 1 species